CCUACGGGACGCAGCAGUGAGGAAUAUUGGUCAAUGGGCGAGAGCCUGAACCAGCCAAGUCGCGUGAGGGAAGACGGUCCUAUGGAUUGUAAACCUCUUUUGUCGGGGAGCAAAAAGGCCUCGUGAGGCCACAAGUGAGAGUACCCGAAGAAAAAGCAUCGGCUAACUCCGUGCCAGCAGCCGCGGUAAUACGGAGGAUGCGAGCGUUAUCCGGAUUUAUUGGGUUUAAAGGGUGCGCAGGCGGAAGAUCAAGUCAGCGGUAAAAUUGAGAGGCUCAACCUCUUCGAGCCGUUGAAACUGGUUUU
rnacentral:rRNA from 1 species